AGAGUUUGAUCAUGGCUCAGAACGAACGCUGGCGGCAGGCCUAACACAUGCAAGUCGAGCGCACUCUUCGGAGUGAGCGGCGGACGGGUUAGUAACGCGUGGGAACGUACCCAGAUCUACGGAAUAGCCUCGGGAAACUGAGAGUAAUACCGUAUACGCCCUUCGGGGGAAAGAUUUAUCGGAUUUGGAUCGGCCCGCGUUAGAUUAGAUAGUUGGUGAGGUAACGGCUCACCAAGUCUACGAUCUAUAGCUGGUUUUAGAGGAUGAUCAGCAACACUGGGACUGAGACACGGCCCAGACUCCUACGGGAGGCAGCAGUGGGGAAUCUUGGACAAUGGGCGCAAGCCUGAUCCAGCCAUGCCGCGUGAGUGAUGAAGGCCUUAGGGUCGUAAAGCUCUUUCGCCAGAGAUGAUAAUGACAGUAUCUGGUAAAGAAACCCCGGCUAACUCCGUGCCAGCAGCCGCGGUAAUACGGAGGGGGUUAGCGUUGUUCGGAAUUACUGGGCGUAAAGCGCGCGUAGGCGGACCAGAAAGUUAGGGGUGAAAUCCCGGGGCUCAACCCCGGAACUGCCUCUAAAACUCCUGAUCUAGAGUUCGAGAGAGGUGAGUGGAAUUCCGAGUGUAGAGGUGAAAUUCGUAGAUAUUCGGAGGAACACCAGUGACGAAGGCGGCUCACUGGCUCGAUACUGACGCUGAGGUG
rnacentral:rRNA from 1 species